rnacentral:rRNA from 1 species
GAUGAACGCUGGCGGCGUGCCUAAUACAUGCAAGUCGAGCGAACAGACGAGGAGCUUGCUCCUCUGACGUUAGCGGCGGACGGGUGAGUAACACGUGGAUAACCUACCUAUAAGACUGGGAUAACUUCGGGAAACCGGAGCUAAUACCGGAUAAUAUAUUGAACCGCAUGGUUCAAUAGUGAAAGACGGUUUUGCUGUCACUAUUGAUUGGAUCCGCGCCGCAUUAGCUAGUUGGUAAGGUAACGGCUUACCAAGGCAACGAUGCGUAGCCGACCUGAGAGGGUGAUCGGCCACGCUGGAACUGAGACACGGUCCAGACUCCUACGGGAGGCAGCAGUAGGGAAUCUUCCGCAAUGGGCGAAAGCUUGACGGAGCAACGCCGCGUGAGUGAUGAAGGUCUUCGGAUCGUAAAACUCUGUUAUUAGGGAAGAACAAAUGUGUAAGUAACUAUGCACGUCUUGACGGUACCUAAUCAGAAAGCCACGGCUAACUACGUG